rnacentral:lncRNA from 1 species
AAAAAAUGUAACCAGCUGAUUUUUCAACGUUCAUCAAGCCAAACAGCCAAUACUUACCAAGACUCUGCUAGUCAGGUUGGUCUCCAGAAACAUUCAGCAAGCAUUGAUCAGUGUCAAUGGGUGGCAUUUUUUCCUGCAUGGAGGAAUUCAGUGGCACACCCUUGCUUCCGAUGGAUUCCGUCAGUCUGCCCCUCUGCUGCCAUCUGUCACAUGGAAACAACAUGUAAUGGAGUACUGUUAGGAAGGUUCAACCCCUGCUGCCAAACCACCAGCAUCCACCUCUGAUGUCAGGGGCCAACAUAAUAAAACAGGAGGCAUUACUUUCAGAGCAGCAAUUGUAUAAAUCGGACGCUCUUUAACAUUUAUUCAAGUUUAUUAAAAUACUACCAGAAUUUCUUGAAUUUUCUGAGUUGUGGACACCAUGAUAAG